rnacentral:rRNA from 1 species
UACGUAGGGUGCGAGCGUUGUCCGGAAUUAUUGGGCGUAAAGGGCUCGUAGGCGGUCUGUCGCGUCGGGAGUGAAAACUCAGGGCUUAACCCUGACAUUGCAUCCGAUACGGGCAGGCUAGAGUUCGGUAGGGGAGACUGGAAUUCCUGGUGUAGCGGUGAAAUGCGCAGAUAUCAGGAGGAACACCGGUGGCGAAGGCGGGUCUCUGGGCCAUUACUGACGCUGAGGAGCGAAAGCGUGGGGAGCGAACAGG